GGGGGAUAUUGCACAAUGGAGGAAACUCUGAUGCAGCAACGCCGCGUGAGGGAAGAAGGCCUUCGGGUUGUAAAGCACUUUCAGCGGGGAGGAAGGCGGUGAGGUUAAUAACCUCACCGAUUGACGUUACCCGCAGAAGAAGCACCGGCUAACUCCGUGCCAGCAGCCGCGGUAAUACGGAGGGUGCAAGCGUUAAUCGGAAUUACUGGGCGUAAAGCGCACGCAGGCGGUCUGUCAAGUCGGAUGUGAAAUCCCCGGGCUCAACCUGGGAACUGCAUUCGAAACUGGCAGGCUAGAGUCUUGUAGAGGGGGGUAGAAUUCCAGGUGUAGCGGUGAAAUGCGUAGAGAUCUGGAGGAAUACCGGUGGCGAAGGCGGCCCCCUGGACAAAGACUGACGCUCAGGUGCGAAAGCGUGGGGAGCAAAC
rnacentral:rRNA from 1 species